UUUUUCUAGUUUAUAACAAGAAAAAAAUUAGUUUAUAUCGAGUAAAACGAACUGAGAAGGAAAGAAGGAUGAAAAAAAGACUUUCUGAAAGAGGUACCUUUUGUAUCAUGGUUUGGGGAGUGAGAAAAAGAUUGUCAAUCCCGAACUCUCAAAGAGUUUUCAUCUGAUUGUUUUUUGUUAAAUUAAAAUCAUUCAUCAGAUGAAGGGAGUGAAACGCUAGCGAUUGAGAAUAUAUCUGGUUUUUUCUGAGAAGAGUUUAGCUCUCCCUCUUCUAUUUAGUUGGAAGAGAGUUCCCCUUUAAGGGAUAAGCUUUAAAGGGAGAAGAGAAAGUUUUUCUUCAAUGUUAAUUGGAUUUAGAAUCAAUUAUUCUUCUUCAGCCUAAGGAAAAAUGGAAUUCAACUAUGGUUUUCUUUUUAGAAUCCUAAAAUUAGUACUAACGAAAACUCUCUGGAAGGAACUCGGCAAAAAGAAAGUUGGCCUGUUUAGUAAAAACAACUCCUCUUGAAGAAAAAUAUGAGGUAGGACCUGCCCAGUGCGAGUGGAGUAAACGGCUGCAGAAUUUAACUGUGCUAAGGUAGCAUAAUAAUUUGUUUCUUAAAUGGAAACUAGAAUGAAUGGUUUGACUAAAUUUUAACUGUCUCCUCGAGACAAAAGGAAUUUGAACUGUAGGUAAAAAUGCCUACAAGAAAAAGAGGGACGAGAAGACCCUGUAGAACUUUAAAUCAAGAAUUGAUUUUACCUGGGAAGGGGAUUCUAGAUAACUAGAAUUUGAAAUAAAGACUGAUCAGUCAAAGCAGAUGAUCCUUUGCAGGAAAAAAAGAAAAAGUUACCUCAGGGAUAACAGCGUGAUUCAAAUAAUUUAGUUCUUAUAAAUUGUUUGGUUUACGACCUCGAUGUUGAAUUAGGUCAUCUUUUUAAUGGAAAAGGUAAAAAAGUCAGUCUGUUCGACUGUUAAAAACCUACAUGAUUUGAGUUUAAACCGACGUGAGUCAGGUUGGAUUCUAUCUUCUUUUUCUUUUUCCUUUUCAGUACGAAAGGACAAAUUGGAAAUAACAUUAAUUAUUUCAGAAAAUUAGUUUAAAAAAAACGGUUUGUUUACACC
rnacentral:rRNA from 1 species